CUGGCCCUUCACCAACAUGGUUUUGUUCACCAUCGUCAUGGUUUUGUGAGCCGUCUCCUCUAUCCAUUUUUUGAAAACAGUCUGCUUUAAUAGACUGGAGGAAACUGGUCGGUACAGCUGUCAAACUUUAGCUGAUUGGUAUAGAACUUUUAAAAUGUCCUUGAAAAAGAUUUUAAAUCUCUUUAGCAAACUCUUUAAAAACACGGAGCAAAUGUCAACUAACCGCAACUGAUUGCUGUGAGGAACACUGCGACCUUACGGCUAUUUAAGGAUUUUCAGAGAUCAAACGCAACAUUCUGAUUGGUUGUGCGCUGUUCUGACCUUUGUUUCGUCAUCGAAUUUGGUUCAUUCUGAUGACGGUCAACGUUCUGCUGAUGAAAAAACGUCACUGGUGACUGAAACUUUUACAGGUGAAGCAUUUCCCACAAAGCCUUGUGCAUAAAGUUUAAAGUAUUCCUCGGCCUCAUGAUUUCGUUUUCCUUUCUGGCUGAAUUAAAAUAAAUUAAUUUAAAUAAAUGAUGAAGAGAUGAACGUCAUAGAUUUCCUUUGACGCUUUGUGUUCCUACUCUUGUGACCUGUGAUGGUAUUUCUUUUGAUGUAUUUGUAUUUUAUUGCAUUCGCAGAGUCUGGUCCAAUAGGAGCGCUGAAUCCCACUUUAGACUACAAAUCGUCAGUCGACGGAAGUUGCAUCACCACAACAACAACCAGUACCGGUGUUGUGCUAAAGUAGUUACCCCGUCUUUUCCAGUGGCUACACUUGAUGAUGGCGACACUAGCAAUUCGUGUUAUAAACCCAGAUGCCCCUGCACAUCGUCAGCAGGCCGGGUGAGAAGUAUGGUCUUCACCAAACCUCCACA